AUUGAACGCUGGCGGCAGGCUUAACACAUGCAAGUCGAGCGGUAACAGGAGAAGCUUGCUUCUUGCUGACGAGCGGCGGACGGGUGAGUAAUACUUAGGAAUCUGCCCAGUAGUGGGGGAUAGCUCGGGGAAACUCGAAUUAAUACCGCAUACACCCUACGGGGAAAAGGGGGCGCUUGCGCUCUCGCUAUUGGAUGAGCCUAAGUCGGAUUAGCUAGUUGGUGGGGUAAAGGCCUACCAAGGCGACGAUCUGUAGCUGGUCUGAGAGGAUGAUCAGCCACACCGGGACUGAGACACGGCCCGGACUCCUACGGGAGGCAGCAGUGGGGAAUAUUGGACAAUGGGGGCAACCCUGAUCCAGCCAUGCCGCGUGUGUGAAGAAGGCCUUUUGGUUGUAAAGCACUUUAAGCAGUGAAGAAGACUCUAUGGUUAAUACCCAUAGACGAUGACAUUAGCUGCAGAAUAAGCACCGGCUAACUCUGUGCCAGCAGCCGCGGUAAUACAGAGGGUGCAAGCGUUAAUCGGAAUUACUGGGCGUAAAGCGAGCGUAGGUGGCUUGAUAAGUCAGAUGUGAAAUCCCCGGGCUUAACCUGGGAACUGCAUCUGAUACUGUUAGGCUAGAGUAGGUGAGAGGGAGGUAGAAUUUCAGGUGUAGCGGUGAAAUGCGUAGAGAUCUGAAGGAAUACCGAUGGCGAAGGCAGCCUCCUGGCAUCAUACUGACACUGAGGUUCGAAAGCGUGGGUAGCAAACAGGAUUAGAUACCCUGGUAGUCCACGCCGUAAACGAUGUCUACUAGUCGUUGGGGAACUUGAUUCCUUAGUGACGCAGCUAACGCAAUAAGUAGACCGCCUGGGGAGUACGGCCGCAAGGUUAAAACUCAAAUGAAUUGACGGGGGCCCGCACAAGCGGUGGAGCAUGUGGUUUAAUUCGAUGCAACGCGAAGAACCUUACCUGGUCUUGACAUAUCUAGAAUCCUGCAGAGAUGCGGGAGUGCCUUCGGGAAUUAGAAUACAGGUGCUGCAUGGCUGUCGUCAGCUCGUGUCGUGAGAUGUUGGGUUAAGUCCCGCAACGAGCGCAACCCUUUUCCUUAGUUACCAGCGGUUUGGCCGGGGACUCUAAGGAUACUGCCAGUGACAAACUGGAGGAAGGCGGGGACGACGUCAAGUCAUCAUGGCCCUUACGACCAGGGCUACACACGUGCUACAAUGGUAGGUACAGAGGGCAGCUACACAGCGAUGUGAUGCGAACCUCAAAAAGCCUAUCGUAGUCCAGAUUGGAGUCUGCAACUCGACUCCAUGAAGUCGGAAUCGCUAGUAAUCGCGGAUCAGAAUGCCGCGGUGAAUACGUUCCCGGGCCU
rnacentral:rRNA from 1 species